UGCCAGCCGCCGCGGUAAUACGAAGGGGGCUAGCGUUGUUCGGAAUUACUGGGCGUAAAGGGCGUGUAGGCGGCGGUUUUAGUCAGGCGUGAAAGCCCGAGGCUCAACCUCGGAAUAGCGAUUGAUACUGAACUGCUUGAGACCGGAAGAGGGUAGUGGAAUUCCCAGUGUAGAGGUGAAAUUCGUAGAUAUCAGGAGGAACACCGAUGGCGAAGGCAUCUCUCUGGGUCGAUAUUGACGCUGAGGCGCGAAGGCGUGGGUAGCGAACGGGAUUAGAUA
rnacentral:rRNA from 1 species